AUAAUGCAUUUAUAUAUAUAUGGGGCUCCCUUAACCCAAUAAUGGAGUUCAAACAUUUAGGGUAUUUAGUCUCUCCAACAUCCAAAUGGAAAACAUGCCAACAAAUUCAACAAAAAAACAAAACUUUCAACCCUUUGAAGGCGAUGAAUAAUUAGCAAUUGUAUCGUUUAACAUGGAGCUUGGAUCAAACGAUGGUAGCAACAUUAAUAGAAGACUUAGAAACAAUAUUGACACCAUCAACCUUGGGAAAAUCUCUAGCAACCUGGGCCAUAUUUCCUCAAGUUCCUCCUCAAAAGGGUUGACAGCAUUGUAGUCCAUUAAAAUUAAUUUGAGGUCUUUAAACAAAAACACAUUCGACCAGUCCAAAGGUCAAUAUAAAAAUUGCACCUCCAUUGAAGUGGCCUCAUGAUAUACUUUGGCAACUAACAUAACCUCCUCAUUCCCGGUUCUCUCUUCUUGCAAUUACCUAUAAAGGUUUCAAAUUUUCUUCUUUGUUGGCUUAGCCUCUAUGUGAAGUUUCUCUAUGCCAGUAGCAUGCUGAGUUGCUACCAAAUUGGUGAACUAGUGCACCUUAGUAAGCUCUGCCUUCAACUCAUGUUCGGUUGCAGUUAUUUACUCAAGUCUCUCUGUGCCACCUUCAAAUUUAGCUCUUGUGACUUCAACAAGACCUUUUCUGCUUCAUUCUUUUUCAAGAAAUUGUUUUCUAUUUCUGUUGCACUUUGGCGUGACGUCACCUCCUUCCUAAUAGCAUCAAUGGCGCUUAGUUUCCCUGAAAUCACCUAUUUGAUUAUAUGGAUAUAAACAAAAUACCGAAGUAGCAAUACUAGAGAUUAACUCUUUUUGAAAUAUGC
rnacentral:lncRNA from 1 species